UGUGUGCACUGUGGCCGUGCCUGAUGUGCUGAGGGACUCGUUUAGGAAUGCUGUCAUUUGGCUUGGGGAAGGGCCAGGCCUCUCUCUGCCCAUAGCAUUGAGGACAGAGGCACAGGUCUCCGUCACUGGGCUGACAGCUUCCAUUCUUCCAAAUCUCAUCUUCCGAGCUAGUCUGCCAUGGAUGAAGUGGGCAUGCAUGUGUUUUAUGCUUUGUACUUCUGCCUCCGUCCAUCUACAAUCCUAGCACUGAAACCACACUCCUCUGAACCACUGUGUGCACCGGCGAGGCCUUCUCAUGGAUGGUCGCAGUCAUUCUCAUUUCUGCGCAUGCUUCCUCCAGGCCAGGCUCACAGGUGGGCCUGCCGGGUGAUUCUGGAUCCUGUGAAGUUGACAGCUUACAUUAACCAUCACACGUAGCAUGCAAAAUCUGAUUUCUUAAUGGAAGAUACAGCACAAGAUCUGGGAGAAAUUUCAAUGUUGUGUAAAAGGAACACCGUAGAAGAACGAAGUCCUAUGAGGAGAAUUCUUUGUGAGAAAACCUGAGACUUGUGACCUCGGUUUCUUCAAAACAUGGACUUAUUCUUGGGAUGGUUUUGUGCUCCUCCCAGGUGUAGUGGAUGGAGUGGGUGGACUUCAGAUUACUCAUUAGUGCUUGCAGUUGUUGUUAAGUGUUUAGACAAUCCUUUCUAGUCCUCUAGAGAAAACCAUGGUUUUUACCACAUGGGGCUUGUUCUUGUGAUUUUAUACAGCACGAAACUCAUGAGAACUUUAUUCAUGUGAUUUUUCUUAACCCUCAGAGUAUAAAUUGUCCGAAGCCCUGAAUAGAGAUGAGCAUUGCAUGAGAUUGUAGCCUCCUUGUUUAUCGGCUCUAUUCUCCCACAUGUGAAGGUUAUCACGAUAAUCACAUCCACUCAGGCACCGAAAGACGAGUAUUACAUGCCUUCUGUC
rnacentral:lncRNA from 1 species